GGCUGGAGGGCAUAUUAAAAGUUUUGGGGUUAAUCCAAGAAGACUCAUAUGCAAAUUUAGAAGUUUUGAGCGAACGUACAAACUAUUACAAUUACAAGGACCAAAGGUGCAAAUUCACGAAACUUGAACUCAAGCUUAGAGCUCUAACAAUGGCGGCUUCGAUUAACGAUUCGCUGGAGAUCGUAGAGAAGGUCUGCGAUCACGGCGACAAUGGUGAGAUUUGCAAGAAACGACGAUGGAUUUGAGCUACGGCCGUGAGGAAAUGAGUCGCGGCGGUUGAGUAGGUUGAAAACGACGACGGAGAGAUUGCAGAACAGGCCACAACGUGAUGGUGAACGGAGGUUGUUGACUGAAACGGAAAGGAGGCCGUGACGGAAGAGCUUCGUCGUGGCUGAGGAUUGGCGGUGGAAAGCUGUCAAUGGCUUGACGGAGACGACGACUUGAGGUCGUGAUGGAUUAGAUCGAAGAGAUGACGGGUCCGAAGCUUCUCAACAGUUGCUCCGCCGGAGUUCGUGCUGCAGAGGAGUACAUCAGCCGUGAGUGGAAAAAGCUUAAUAGAAUUGAUUUGGCUAGCUAUGUGUUAACUUACUUUUUCCGGAGCACAUCCCGAAAAAACUACAGACUUAAGUGUGCUUGAGCUGGAGUAGUAGAAGGAUGAGUGACCUAUCGGGAAGUGAUUUGCGAUAGUGUACGAGUGAGGUCAAAGCACAGGGAAAGGUCGGGUGGUGAUUGCAGAGUCAGUAAACAAUGAUUUCGAACCUUUGGAAAAAUUAACGGACCGACGGAUGGGAUGAGGUCCACGGGCCGAGAGAGCGGACGUGGAUGGCCCAUUAGCCGUGGGCAGUCGGAGCGUUA
rnacentral:lncRNA from 1 species